rnacentral:rRNA from 1 species
AGCUCAAAUUUGAAAUCUGGCCCUCUCAGGGUCCGAGUUGUAAUUUAAAGAAGCGUUUUCGGUGGCAGCCUGGGUAUAAAUCCUUUGGAAUAGGGUAUCAUAGAGGGUGAGAAUCCCGUCUUUGACCUAGUGCAUGCUACUAUGUGAUACGUUUUCAAA